rnacentral:rRNA from 1 species
CAGCAGCCGCGGGAAAACGAAGGGUGCAAGCGUUACUCGGAAUUACUGGGCGUAAAGCGUGCGUAGGUGGUGGUUUAAGUCCGUUGUGAAAGCCCUGGGCUCAACCUGGGAAUUGCAGUGGAUACUGGGUCACUAGAGUGUGGUAGAGGAUAGUGGAAUUUCCGGUGUAGCAGUGAAAUGCGUAGAGAUCGGAAGGAACAUCUGUGGCGAAGGCGACUAUCUGGGCCAACACUGACACUGAGGCACGAAAGCGUGGGGAGCAAACAGGAUUAGAUACCCCGGUAGUCCCUGUCUCUUAUAU